UGUGCUUACGGAUUAGCACGGGCUGCCACGGAUGAUGGCCAGGAACAUCGAAGGACACGAUUCAUCAGGACGAUGAGUGGGAAAUAGAGGGAAUAGGGACGAAAGAGUGGGCGGGUCAAACCGCCCCUUUUUUU
rnacentral:sRNA from 3 species